rfam:Ehrlichia muris AS145, complete genome.
GGAGGAGUGGCCGAGUGGUCUAAGGCAACAGACUGUAAAUCUGUCCACUGACGUGAUCGUAGGUUCAAAUCCUACCUCCUCCA